AAUCUUCACACAACCCAUGUAAUACAUAAGGGAAAGAGAUACAUAGUUGGCUUACAGUCGCCACUUCACACAAUACAUGAAUGUAACAUUACAACAUCCAGAUACAAUGAAGGUCUGACUACGGAACCAAAAUAAAGGAAGACUACCCCAAAUGCUACACAGAUCCUUGAUUGUCCCAACUGGGCUCCACUACUGAUCAACUGGAACGAAACAACACUACGAACAAGGUCUUCAUCGAGCUCCUCCUAGAGCUCGGUUGUGUCACCUGUACGGUAUCAUCGAGCACCUGCAAACUGGUUUGGAAGUAUCUGUGAGUCACGAGGAUUCAUCAAUCUCACACCCUCGCAAUCAAGACUAUUUAAGCUUAUAGGAAGGGUAAAAGGUAUGAGGUGGAGCUGCAGCAAGCGACUAGCAUAUUUGGUGGCUAACAUACGCAAAUGAGAGCGAGAAGAUAGGGCAAAGCACGUUCUAGAAAUUUAUGAUCAAGAAGUGAUCCUAAAACAACCUACGUCAAGCAUAAAUCCAACACCGUGUUCACUUCCCAGACACCACCGGAAAGAGACCAUCACGGUAACACACGCGGUUGAUGCAUUUUAAUUAAGUUAAGGUUUCAGGUUUUCUACAACCGGACAUUAACAAAUUCCCAUCUGCCCAUAACCAUGGGCACGGCUUUCAAAAGAUCAAAUCCCUGCAGGGGUGUCCCAACUUAGCCCAUCACAAGCUCUCACGGUCAACGAAGGAUAUUCCUUCUCCCAAGACAAUCCGAUCAGACUCGGCAUCUCGGUUACAAGACAUUUCGACAAUGGUAAAACAAGACCAACAAAGCCACCCAGAUGUGCCGACAAAUCCCGAUAGGAGCUGCACAUAUCUCGUUCUCAGGGCACACCAGAUGAGCCAGACGUCGGGUGGGCCAGCCCAGAGUUGCCCCUGGUAACUCCGGACAUCGCUCAGUUUGGACCAACACUCAGAGGAGCACUGGCCCGGGGGUUUAAAUAAGGAUGACCCUUGGGCAGGCCUACCCAAGGGAAAGAAAAGGCUAGGUGGCAAAUGGUAAAACCAAUGUUGGGCCUUGCUGGAGGAGUUUUAUUCAAGGCGAACUGUCAAGGGGUUCCCAUUAUAACCCAACCGUGUAAGGAACGCAAAAUCCAGAACAUAACACCGAUAUGACAGAAACUAGGUCGGCAAGAGUGGAACAAAACACCAGGCAUAAGGCCGAGCCUUCCACCCUUUACCAAGUAUAUAGAUGCAUUAAUAUAAUAAGAGAUAUUGUGAUAUCCCAACAACAAUCCAUGUUCCAACAUGGAACAAACUCCAUCUUCACCUGCAACUAACAACGCUAUAAGAGGGGCUGAGCACAGCGGUAACAUAGCCAAACAAUGGUUUGCUAGGACAAGGUGGGUUAGAGGUUUGACAUGGCAAUAUGGGAGGCAUGAUAAGCAAGUGGUAGGUAUCGUAGCAUAGGCAUAGCAAUAGAGCGAGCAUCUAGCAAGCAAAGAUAGAAGUAAUUUCGAGGGUAUGGUCAUCUUGCCUGAGAUCCCGCAAGGAAGAAGAACGAGUCCAUGAAGAAGACAAACGGACAUAGCCAACGGAUCCUCACAAACGCGACGUUAUCGGAACCAACCCAAGGAAGCAACACCGGAAAGAAGCACACAAUAUAGUAAACAAACAUCACAUAAGCAUGGCACGAUGCGUAGACAAGUAUGAUGCAUGCCCGGUUUAAUGAAGCAUGACAUGGCAAAGUGCACAAGCAACCCUACAAAUUAAGUGGAGCUCAAUAUGCAACUCCGUUGCAUAUUGAUGAAACACCACGUGACUUAUUUAGUUCGAUCUUGUUUAUGUACCCAACAAUAUUAAAUAUUGUUAAACAUGGCAAUAGGGUGAAGCAAAGUAAAACUACCUAUCUAGUCAAGUUUAAAUGAGGCCGGAAACAACGAACAACAAUUCCGGAAAAUCCUCAUAUGCACAUAUUAGGUUUGGUACUGUUCUGCCCUAAACAAUAUUUUAGAGUUGUUAAACAUGCAAGGUGAAACCAGCAAGUUAAACUAUGCAUUCUUCUACCCCAUUUACAUAUAAAGUUUGUUACAAACCGAGCUACAGUUAAAAAGUUAUGAAUUAAAUCAUUUUAGCAAGUUAUUUAAGCAAAUUUAAACAAACAACAUUUUAAACAUAGAUGAAAGUGGAAAAUUAUUAAUCUACACAAAAUUCUAAGCAAGUUUCAUAUAUUAAGUUUUUACAUGUGAUGCUUAGUGUGUGAGUUAAAAUAUGCAUGAACUUCAAGGGUGUUCCUGCAAAUAUGUAAACCCUGGUAUUUAUCAAAUUCGCAGAACAAAAAAAACAACCACUGGGCCGAAACUGUCUGGCCCAGCUACACAGGGGUGGGGGUUUGGCGGCUGCUCACCACUGGGCCUUGGGGCCAGCGGAUCUGGUGGGCUAAAACGGAGCGCGGGGCGGCUGCACGCCUUGGCAAAGAAACAGGCCGGGCCUGGCGCUGGCGUGGUCAACGCGAGCAGGCGCGGAACGAACGACCUGCUCCUCGCAGUCGCAGAGGAAGCAGAGGCCACGACAAAGCAUGGCGAGGCAGAGGACGGCGGAGGGGCGCGACGAGGGGCAUGCACGGGCGAGGGCGCACAGGAACUGGCCGGAUCUGAGGGUUGGUGGCGGCGGAGCUCCGUUCUGAGGGCAGUGGAUCGGGCGGCUAGGUGCGUGCGUCCUCGACCUGUCGCUCGGAGCAGAGGAACGAGCGGUGCUCCAGCAAGGAACUUGGGCGACGACGACGAACGUGGCGUGGCUGGAGCGUCGUCCUCUUCCUGCAGUAGAAGAAAGGGGAGGCCAGCGGGGUCCUGGACGGCGACGCGGUGGUGAGAUCCGGUAGCAUGGCGCGGCGGCGGAAGCUCCUGCUGCUGCAGUACCAAGAGAGGAAGAGAAGGUCAGGG
rnacentral:lncRNA from 1 species